AUUGUCAUUGUGCACAAACAACUUCAGGUCAUAAUUUCAUUUGAAAUAGAUUGUUAAAGUUAGGACAUUUAAAAAAUUGUCCUUGGAUAAGGAAAUAUGAGACUGAAGACUUUUGCUGUGGGCUAAUCUGGCCUUAAUUGUCCUGGCGUGUGACAGUGAUGCCAGUACAUAAGAAGAGGAUGGUUCCUGAGGCCAGUCCAAGGCUAUGUGUACAUUGUUGUGGAGUAGGGCUGUGGCCUUACUCUCAACUUGCCCGGAAGGUGGAAACAGAAGAGAAUUUGCUGUGUCAAAAUACAGCUAAAGAAGAUGGACUAAUUUGUCAAUCCAUCAAUAAGAGUGUGAGAAAUCAGAUGCCUGGUGCUGCAUGUGAAAUAGAGGGCAACAAGUUAAAUGCAGAAUUUUGAAGAAUACACUAGGUAACUUUAGAGAGGAAAUGGGGUCAUAUUGCUGCAGGAAGGGCUAUUUGGUGUUCUUUGUUAACUGUGAUAUUGAUCUAGACUGCUAGGAGGGCUGAUUUAGGUUGGACUUUCCACCAGUCUUGUUUCUAUGGAUACUUGCAAAGUAAAGACACCUAAUUCAGUAUUUGUUACCAGUUAUUUGAACUAAGUUACAUUAUAGAACAAGGUAAUUGGCCCAUUAGUCUAAUCAUCUUUUUCUGAAGCAGAAACAUCUCUAUUAAUUUUCAUGGUCCUAAUGUUUUAAUAAUCAUGAAAAACUUAUUGCAGUUGUAUGAUUUCUUUAUUUAGCACAUGUUCAUUCUGUUCAGUGUAUUUCUAGUGAAUGCAAUGAGCACAGUCUUGAAGUUGUUUCCAGUGAGAAAAACAUACACUAUUUUGAAAAUACAGAGUUGAUGCAUAUGGGGCAAACUCGCAUUUAGUUCAAUUGCUUGAAGCCUCAGUCUGUGUGUUGUGUCCUUCUGGAAUUAAUAGCUGAUACCACGUCCAAGGAGGUAUUGUUGCAAUGCCUGUUAUGAAUCUUCUGUCUCAAGGAUUCAACCUUUAUUUGGGUUCUCUUUCUUGCAGCCUUUUUUUAGUGAAGAGAAAAAAAGAUUCAUCAUGUAGUGUGACACUACACCUUUCCUUCAUCACCUGUGACAUGAAUUUUUAUGGUAUAGUCUCCAACAAGUUAAGCAGUAAGUUGAUGACCUAACUGCAAACAUUUGUAUCUACAGUGUCCCAUUACAGGAAUUUGGACUGUUUGGUAAAUUAAGAUAAUAUUGAG
rnacentral:lncRNA from 14 species